rnacentral:rRNA from 1 species
UACGGAGGGGGCAAGCGUUAUUCGGAAUUACUGGGCAUAAAGGGUGCGUAGGUGGCUUGUUAAGUCAGGGGUGAAAGUUUUCGGCCCAACCGGAAAAUGGCCUUUGAUACUGGCGAGCUCGAGUGCGUGAGGGGUAACUGGAACGAGCAGUGUAGCGGUGAAAUGCGUAGAUAUUGCUCGGAAGGCCAACGGCGAAGGCAGGUUACUGGUGCGCAACUGACACUGAGGCACGAAAGCGUGGGGAGCAAACAGG